rnacentral:rRNA from 1 species
UUUAAAUUGAAGAGUUUGAUCAUGGCUCAGAUUGAACGCUGGCGGCAGGCCUAACACAUGCAAGUCGAACGGUAACAGGAAGCAGCUUGCUGCUUCGCUGACGAGUGGCGGACGGGUGAGUAAUGUCUGGGAAGCUGCCUGAUGGAGGGGGAUAACUACUGGAAACGGUAGCUAAUACCGCAUAAUGUCGCAAGACCAAAGAGGGGGACCUUCGGGCCUCUUGCCAUCGGAUGUGCCCAGAUGGGAUUAGCUUGUUGGUGGGGUAACGGCUCACCAAGGCGACGAUCCCUAGCUGGUCUGAGAGGAUGACCAGCCACACUGGAACUGAGACACGGUCCAGACUCCUACGGGAGGCAGCAGUGGGGAAUAUUGCACAAUGGGCGCAAGCCUGAUGCAGCCAUGCCGCGUGUAUGAAGAAGGCCUUCGGGUUGUAAAGUACUUUCAGCGGGGAGGAAGGGAGUAAAGUUAAUACCUUUGCUCAUUGACGUUACCCGCAGAAGAAGCACCGGCUAACUCCGUGCCAGCAGCCGCGGUAAUACGGAGGGUGCAAGCGUUAAUCGGAAUUACUGGGCGUAAAGCGCACGCAGGCGGUUUGUUAAGUCAGAUGUGAAAUCCCCGGGCUCAACCUGGGAACUGCAUCUGAUACUGGCAAGCUUGAGUCUCGUAGAGGGGGGUAGAAUUCCAGGUGUAGCGGUGAAAUGCGUAGAGAUCUGGAGGAAUACCGGUGGCGAAGGCGGCCCCCUGGACGAAGACUGACGCUCAGGUGCGAAAGCGUGGGGAGCAAACAGGAUUAGAUACCCUGGUAGUCCACGCCGUAAACGAUGUCGACUUGGAGGUUGUGCCCUUGAGGCGUGGCUUCCGGAGCUAACGCGUUAAGUCGACCGCCUGGGGAGUACGGCCGCAAGGUUAAAACUCAAAUGAAUUGACGGGGGCCCGCACAAGCGGUGGAGCAUGUGGUUUAAUUCGAUGCAACGCGAAGAACCUUACCUGGUCUUGACAUCCACGGAAGUUUUCAGAGAUGAGAAUGUGCCUUCGGGAACCGUGAGACAGGUGCUGCAUGGCUGUCGUCAGCUCGUGUUGUGAAAUGUUGGGUUAAGUCCCGCAACGAGCGCAACCCUUAUCCUUUGUUGCCAGCGGUCCGGCCGGGAACUCAAAGGAGACUGCCAGUGAUAAACUGGAGGAAGGUGGGGAUGACGUCAAGUCAUCAUGGCCCUUACGACCAGGGCUACACACGUGCUACAAUGGCGCAUACAAAGAGAAGCGACCUCGCGAGAGCAAGCGGACCUCAUAAAGUGCGUCGUAGUCCGGAUUGGAGUCUGCAACUCGACUCCAUGAAGUCGGAAUCGCUAGUAAUCGUGGAUCAGAAUGCCACGGUGAAUACGUUCCCGGGCCUUGUACACACCGCCCGUCACACCAUGGGAGUGGGUUGCAAAAGAAGUAGGUAGCUUAACCUUCGGGAGGGCGCUUACCACUUUGUGAUUCAUGACUGGGGUGAAGUCGUAACAAGGUAACCGUAGGGGAACCUGCGGUUGGAUCACCUCCUUACC